GGCUUGAAUCCCUGUAUUAGAACACAAUAACACUUCAUUGGCAUACAGUUUGGCUGUUAAUCACAUCCCCCCACUUAUUACAUUUGUCUACCAUGGUGACCACGUGUAAUGGGGAAUCAGGGUUCGAUUGCGGAGAGGGAGCCUGAGAAACGGCUACCACAUGCAAGGAAGGCAGCAGCCG